rnacentral:rRNA from 1 species
CACGUAGGGCGCAAGCGUUGUCCGGAAUUAUUGGGCGUAAAGAGCUCGUAGGCGGUCUGUUGCGUCUGCUGUGAAAACUCGGGGCUUAACCCCGAGCCUGCAGUGGAUACGGGCAGACUAGAGGUAGGUAGGGGAGAAUGGAAUUCCCGGUGUAGCGGUGAAAUGCGCAGAUAUCAGGAAGAACACCAAUGGCGAAAGCAGCUCUCUGGGACGGUACUGACGCUGAGACGCGAAAGCGUGGGGAGCGAACAGG